AAGAGGAGGAACCGCUAUGAACGAAGUUCAUAUUGAAAACCGGUUCCGACGACCUGCCGCCGAACGAAUGUGAGGGGGCGUUACAACAU
rnacentral:sRNA from 12 species